GUUCAUGCGAACGGUUUGUGCGAAACAUAGAACCUGCCGACGUUCAGAGGCGCAGCGGGUGGGGGGGAGUGGCGGGAGCGCAUUCACCUACCAGAUGUGAGGUGUGUGUUUGAGGGUGCUCACAGCCGCCCGCCUGAGUGGGCCAUUCACUUCAAACCAGCAACACCAGAAGCUGCACUCGGGUCCCUCACCAUGUCCGAGCCGCCGUGUCCUACACGCCACCUUCACACCUCCCAGACUUGCCUCCGUCACCUGCCCGAACACCAAACUGAGACCCCGUGUGCCUCCUGCCCCCACUCUCCCCCCCCCCCAUCCCGCCGCGACCUCCUGCCCAUGCCGCUUCGUCUCCCCGCCCAUGUCGCGGCCGCCCCAUCUCGCGCCGUGCCCAUGCACCCUUGCACCUUAACACUGCCGCCCUCCUUCCUUUUUCUUCCUCUUUCUUCCAUUUGUCAAGCCGGGAUCCCGUAGCCUUGUACUGCCCUGCUUCACUACUUCCACGACUUCUACUCACACUCGCCGCCUUGCCAUCCCCCACAUGUUCGUCGCGCCCGGCUGCUGGACGCUUCUACCUGGCGCUUCCCCGUUCGCAUCCAGGUGAGUAUGUUAGUAUAACCUUGCAACUAGUUGGGCGACGGGGUCCGCGCGCGGCUCGCAAUGCUGACAUGGCUUCGGAGCUGCUCUGGACUGCUCCUUCCACCUGUCGCUACACUGCCCAAGCCCGCCCGACUACACAUGGUGAUGUACAACGACUCGCGUUUGCAGCUGCAGUUCUCCUUGCCGCGCGACUGUUUCCUUACGGGAUUGGUUCAACGUUUCCCCCCCCCCCCCACUCCACUCC
rnacentral:lncRNA from 1 species